GGGGGAUAUUGGACAAUGGGCGCAAGCCUGAUCCAGCCAUGCCGCGUGAGUGAUGAAGGCCUUAGGGUUGUAAAGCUCUUUUAGCAGGGACGAUAAUGACGGUACCUGCAGAAAAAGCCCCGGCCAACUUCGUGCCAGCAGCCGCGGUAAUACGAAGGGGGCUAGCGUUGCUCGGAAUCACUGGGCGUAAAGCGCACGUAGGUGGGUCGUUAAGUCGGGGGUGAAAUCCCAGAGCUCAACUCCGGAACUGCCUUCGAUACUGGCGACCUUCGAGUUCGGGAGAGGUGAGUGGAACUGCGAGUGUAGAGGUGAAAUUCGUAGAUAUUCGCAAGAACACCAGUGGCGAAGGCGGCUCACUGGCCCGAUACUGACACUGAGGUGCGAAAGCGUGGGGAGCAAAC
rnacentral:rRNA from 1 species